ACUCCUACGGGAGGCAGCAGUGGGGAAUCUUGGACAAUGGGCGCAAGCCUGAUCCAGCCAUGCCGCGUGAGCGAUGAAGGCCUUAGGGUCGUAAAACUCUUUCGCCAGGGAUGAUAAUGACAGUACCUGGUAAAGAAACCCCGGCUAACUCCGUGCCAGCAGCCGCGGUAAUACGGAGGGGGUUAGCGUUGUUCGGAAUUACUGGGGCGUAAAGCGCGCGUAGGCGGACUAGUUAGUCAGAGGUGAAAUCCCGGGGCUCAACCCCGGAACUGCCUUUGAUACUGCUAGGUCUUGAGUUCGAGAGAGGUGAGUGGAAUUCCGAGUGUAGAGGUGAAAUUCGUAGAUAUUCGGAGGAACACCAGUGGCGAAGGCGGCUCACUGGCUCGAUACUGACGCUGAGGUGCGAAAGUGUGGGAGCAAACAGGAUUAGAUACCCUGGUAGGAUAG
rnacentral:rRNA from 1 species